GAUGAACGCUAGCUACAGGCUUAACACAUGCAAGUCGAGGGGAAACGACAUCGAAAGCUUGCUUUUGAUGGGCGUCGACCGGCGCACGGGUGAGUAACGCGUAUCCAACCUGCCCACCACUUGGGGAUAACCUUGCGAAAGUAAGACUAAUACCCGAUGAUAUCUCUAGAAGACAUCUGAAAGGGAUUAAAGAUUUAUCGGUGAUGGAUGGGGAUGCGUCUGAUUAGCUAGUUGGUGGGGCAACGGCCUACCAAGGCGACGAUCAGUAGCCGGUCUGAGAGGAUGAACGGCCACAUUGGAACUGAGACACGGUCCAAACUCCUACGGGAGGCAGCAGUGAGGAAUAUUGGUCAAUGGGCGGAAGCCUGAACCAGCCAAGUAGCGUGAGGGAUGACUGCCCUAUGGGUUGUAAACCUCUUUUAUAAGGGAAUAAAUACGGGACGUGUCCUGUUUGCAUGUACCUUAUGAAUAAGGACCGGCUAAUUCCGUGCCAGCAGCCGC
rnacentral:rRNA from 1 species